rnacentral:rRNA from 1 species
UUGGGCCUACGGGGCGCAGCAGUGGGGAAUAUUGCACAAUGGGGGGAACCCUGAUGCAGCGACGCCGCGUGAGUGAAGAAGUAUUUCGGUACGUAAAGCUCUAUCAGCAGGGAAGAAAAAAGGACGGUACCUGAGUAAGAAGCCCCGGCUAACUACGUGCCAGCAGCCGCGGUAAUACGUAGGGGGCAAGCGUUAUCCGGAAUUACUGGGUGUAAAGGGAGCGUAGACGGCAAUGCAAGCCAGAUGUGAAAGCCCGCGGCUCAACUGCGGUAGUGCAUUUGGAACUGUAUGGCUGGAGUGCAGGG